UUUCCGUAGGUGAACCUGCGGAAGGAUCAUUAUUGAAUGAACUUGGUGUGGUUGUUGCUGGCUCUCUUGUGGGGGCAUGUGCACACCCGCCAUCCUCAUCUCUCCACCUGUGCACCUCUUGUAGACCUGGAUGAAUUUUCCGAGGUAACUCGGUCGGGAGGAAUGCUGCGCUCUUWGCGUCGGCUUUCUUUGCACUUCCAGACGCCUACGUUUUUUUCAUAUACCCUGUAGUAUGUAACAGAAUGUAUCAUUGGGCCGUAAGUGCCUAUAAACCUUAUACAACUUUCAGCAACGGAUCUCUUGGCUCUCGCAUCGAUGAAGAACGCAGCGAAAUGCGAUAAGUAAUGUGAAUUGCAGAAUUCAGUGAAUCAUCGAAUCUUUGAACGCACCUUGCGCUCCUUGGUAUUCCGAGGAGCAUGCCUGUUUGAGUGUCAUUUAAUUCUCAACCUUAUUAGUWUCUGCUGAUAAUGGCUUGGAUGUGGGGGUUUUCUUUUGCUGGCUUUCGUCAGCUCCCCUUAAAUGCAUUAGCUGGUGCCCCGCGUGGACUGUCCGUKCGGUGUGAUAAUUAUCUACGCCGUGGAUGUCUGCAAAUAGGGUUUGCACUGCUUCUAACCGUCUGUUCAUUUGGACAAUACAUGACAAUUUGACCUCAAAUCAGGUAGGACUACCCG
rnacentral:rRNA from 1 species